UACGAAGGGGGCUAGCGUUGCUCGGAAUCACUGGGCGUAAAGCGCACGUAGGCGGAUUGCUAAGUCAGGGGUGAAAUCCUGGAGCUCAACUCCAGAACUGCCUUUGAUACUGGCGAUCUCGAGUCCGGGAGAGGUGAGUGGAACUGCGAGUGUAGAGGUGAAAUUCGUAGAUAUUCGCAAGAACACCAGUGGCGAAGGCGGACUCACUGGCCCG
rnacentral:rRNA from 1 species